rnacentral:misc_RNA from 1 species
GUGAUUUUCAGCAAAACCCAGAUGGGGAUUUGAAUUAUAACUCGAACAAUACGGGUUCUUUGAAUAAAUUAAACUGGAAGGAUCAGGAAUGGGCGUAUAAUCAGCAGUUAUCUCGUAGCACGCAAGGCGGCGGGAGUUAUAGUGGAAAUUCUAGGAGAAUAGAGCAGAACCCUAGUGAGGUUUAUGAGCAAAAAAAUAGAACUGAAUUUCAAGAAUUAAAGGAUACCAAAGGGUUUCAGC